CCUACGGGAGGCAGCAGUAGGGAAUCUUCCACAAUGGGCGAAAGCCUGAUGGAGCAACGCCGCGUGGGUGAAGAAGGUCUUCGGAUCGUAAAACCCUGUUGUUAGAGAAGAAAGUGCGUGAGAGUAACUGUUCACGUUUCGACGGUAUCUAACCAGAAAGCCACGGCUAACUACGUGCCAGCAGCCGCGGUAAUACGUAGGUGGCAAGCGUUAUCCGGAUUUAUUUGGCGGAAAGGGAACGCAGGCGGUCUUUUAAGUCUGAUGUGAAAGCCUUCGGCUUAACCGGAGUAGUGCAUUGGAAACUGGGAGACUUGAGUGCAGAAGAGGAGAGUGGAACUCCAGGUGUAGCGGUGAAAUGCGUAGAUAUAUGGAAGAACACCAGUGGCGAAAGCGGCUCUCUGGUCUGUAACUGACGCUGAGGUUCGAAAGCGUGGGUAGCAAACAGGAUUAGAUACCCGAGUAGUC
rnacentral:rRNA from 1 species